CAGAGACCCUAAUGCCUCAGAGAGGACCCCAAAGUGGAAGAAGAAUCCUGGCGAAAUUCAGACCCACUGGCCUGUCCCUCUGGCUUGCUUGUCAUCCAGGAGUGAGGCAAGGGGCUUCACAGCUUUACUGAGGAAAGAGUCAGUGACAAGAGCCUAAGGGGUUCUCCUACGCUUGAGGGGACUUCAACCCUCCUUUCCCUAGAGACUCUGGUAGUUUGAGGUUCAGAAGAAAACUUUUUUUUUAUUUAAUGAGGAAACAUCUAGAAAUGCUGGGCUGCCUCAAAAAAGUGCCGACUUGAGUUGUGAGCUAAGGGCCUGGAUGAGCCACCCUCAGAGCAUGCAGCGCCUUGGUAAGCACAGCUCCAAAGACAACUGGGGGAGGCACAGAACGAAGGGCCAGCUUGAGGAAAGCCUCAGGUGGUACCAAAAUUAGCUGCCGUCUGCCCCCUGCUGGUGGGUCCCUGGGGUGGAGAGACUCGAUGGAGGUGAAAUUGAGAUGCUGAUUUAAAAAAAAAAAAAAAAAAAAAAAGCAAAAAACCACACCCCUCUCUGAGGGUCCAUGGCCCUGGCUCUGAAGAAUAAAAAACCAACAGAGGUCAAGCAAGGUAUUUGCCCUGUUGAUCCCCAAACCUGGUCCCAGUUCUGGUGGGAGAUGGAUGCUGCCGCAUGGACUGGUAGGUGUCGGCUGGUGACUCAGUCCUGGUCCCCAGCUCCCGGCAAAGCGGGGAGGGGCUAGGUAUCGCAGGUGUCCCCUCAUCCACGGGCUUCACCUCCCCUCUUCCCGGCCAGCACGGCCUCCACCCACUCCAUUGCACGGCAGUACCCAGUUGUUGUCAUGCAAGCCCAGGCGACAGCCUGGUGUCUCACGAUCGGCUCUGCGGCAGCACAUCCAGUAGGAACGUCCGUAAGGCAGGUCAUGGUGGUAGGGUUUGGGGUGCCAGCGGCAGAGUGACACAUCACCCUUCUCGUAUCUCUUGCGGCACUGCUUACAAGGGUCGUCUCGGUAGAGCGGGUCCCGGCUCCAGCGAGAGUCCGUGGCACGCACACCGAAAGCCUCGAUGAUCCCCUUGAAGUGGUGGCAGGUGCACUUGAGGGCUGCCAAGGCCCGCGUGGGCAGGAAGCUGAAUAUCUUGACGAGCACGUGCUCAGGCAGCAGCAGCAUGUACUGCCGUGGCUCCAGAAGACGCUGGAUUUUAAAGCGAAUCUCCAGGAAGUCGUGUGACACAUGCCGGUACAGGCGGCAGAGGGAGGUGUCCGUUGUGCCCUCAGAAUCAUCGGGGCCUGGCACUGUGCUUGGUAUAUCAGCUGGGGGUGGCUCAGGAGGCCCUUCUGGACCACGGGACUGCAAGAAGAAGAGCUGGCCAGGUGGGGGUGGCUCCUCAGGGCUCACUGUCAGGCACACAGUCUCUUCCUUCACGUUCUUGGUGCCAUCUUUGCCAAAGAAGAUGCACGCAUCCACUACACCUGUUACCACCACAUCUACAUGGAAUCCUGAUGCACCACAGUCCCGGGUGAUUUUGUCUUUGGCUCGAGUCCCAGGUCCAGGACUACCAGGGUAGGCACAACCAGGCCGGCCUCCACCCCCAUUGGGUAAGUUGCCAUCUGGUGAAUGGGGCUCUCGGACAUUGGAGAUUCGGAAAGCUAUACGCACCUCGCCGGGCCCAGGGCCUGGCCGUUCCUCCUUGCGGAGACCCUUGGUAGGAGGGCUGUCCCGCUGGGCCUCAAAGUGGGCCACUGCCUCAGCAACUCGGCUGCAGUCACCACCACCAGACCGCCUUUCCGACCCUAGCCCCUUGGCUGGUCCCCCCUGAUCAGCUGACACAAAGACCACGGGAGCUGGGGUACUGGGGCGCGGAUAACUCUGCAGGGCCAGGGCAGCUCUCUGUUCAACCAGGGCCACCAUUUCUGCUACAGAGACCAGGUCUACAUCAUCCCCAGAUGAUGUGGGGGUCACCUCAGUGGCAGGGGUUCCUUCUCGGCCCCCUUGGUCUGGAGGAGCCUUGGUGGGCUCAAGGCAGCGCCUCCUCCUCUUAGCUUUGGAGCUGUCACUGCCCCAGUGCCCUUUGACCUUCAUAGAGCUGGCCCGGCUACUUCCACCACACUGGUGGGCCACAAAGAAGGCCACCUUCUCCUUUGUAUUUCCAGGCUUGAUAACAUACCACGUGUCCAGCAGGACCCGACCUUCAUCACCGGAAGCUGCUGUAGAGAGGAGUGGAGCAGGCUGGGAGGUGGGGGCUUCUGCAGCCACGGCAGGUGGUGUGCUCUCCAAGUGCGCAGGCCUGUGGUCGGGCUCAGUCCCGCUGCUUGUGUCAGGACAGACUGGCGGCUUGAGGGCUGUGGAAGGUGGGCGCGGCUGGUUCUGGGAAUACUUGCUGAAGGGCCGGGGGCACCAGAGUUGGAAGGGCAGGAGGCUGCCCCUGUCCAUGCUGGGCAGCAAUGACAAGCAGCAGCAGGUAGUCACUCAGCCUCAGGGCCAGGAUGGUAGUGGGGAGCUCUCCAGGCCACCUGCAGACACAGAAGGCUGCAACAGUGAGCUCAUGGCCUUUCUUACCAACAC
rnacentral:lncRNA from 1 species